rnacentral:rRNA from 1 species
UUAAGUGACUAAGCGUACAAGGUGGAUGCCUUGGCAAUCAGAGGCGAAGAAGGACGUGCUAAUCUGCGAAAAGCUUGGAUGAGUCGAUAAGAGGCGUUUAAUCCAAGAUGUCCGAAUGGGGAAACCCAGUGGGUGAAGAACCCACUAUCAUUAUCUGAAUCCAUAGGAUAAUGAGGCGAACCGGGAGAACUGAAACAUCUAAGUACCCCGAGGAAAAGAAAUCAACCGAGAUUUUGUGAGUAGCGGCGAGCGAAAGCGAAGGAGCCUGUUAGUGAUAGCGGAAGUAUUAGAGGAAUUGGCUGGGAAGCCAAAUCGUAGAGGGUGAUAAUCCCGUACUCGAAAAUACUUUUGUGGUACUGAGCUAACGAUAAGUAGGGCGGGACACGUGAUAUCCUGUUUGAAGAUGGGGGGACCAUCCUCCAAGGCUAAAUACUCCUGAUUGACCGAUAGUGAACCAGUACUGUGAAGGAAAGGCGAAAAGAACCCCGGUGAGGGGAGUGAAAUAGAACCUGAAACCUUGUACGUACAAGCAGUGGGAGCCCGAAAGGGUGACUGCGUACCUUUUGUAUAAUGGGUCAGCGACUUAUAUUUUGUAGCGAGGUUAACCGAAUAGGGGAGCCGAAGGGAAACCGAGUCUUAACUGGGCGAAUAGUUGCAAGGUAUAGACCCGAAACCCGGUGAUCUAGCCAUGGGCAGGUUGAAGGUUGGGUAACACUAACUGGAGGACCGAACCGACUAAUGUUGAAAAAUUAGCGGAUGACUUGUGGCUGGGGGUGAAAGGCCAAUCAAACCGGGAGAUAGCUGGUUCUCCCCGAAAUCUAUUUAGGUAGAGCCUUGAGCGGACACCUUCGGGGGUAGAGCACUGUUUCGGCUAGGGGUCCAUCCCGGAUUACCAACCCGAUGCAAACUACGAAUACCGAAGAGUGAUACUCAGGAGACACACGGCGGGUGCUAACGUCCGUCGUGGAGAGGGAAACAACCCAGACCGCCAGCUAAGGUCCCAAAGUCUAUAUUAAGUGGGAAACGAAGUGGGAAGGCUUAGACAGCUAGGAUGUUGGCUUAGAAGCAGCCAUCAUUUAAAGAAAGCGUAAUAGCUCACUAGUCGAGUCGGCCUGCGCGGAAGAUGUAACGGGGCUCAAAUAUAGCACCGAAGCUGCGGCAUCAGACGUAAGUCUGUUGGGUAGGGGAGCGUUGUGUAAGCGGAUGAAGGUGGUUCGAGAGGGCUGCUGGACGUAUCACAAGUGCGAAUGCUGACAUAAGUAACGAUAAAACGGGUGAAAAACCCGUUCGCCGGAAGACCAAGGGUUCCUGUCCAACGUUAAUCGGGGCAGGGUGAGUCGGCCCCUAAGGCGAGGCUGAAAAGCGUAGUCGAUGGGAAACGGGUUAAUAUUCCCGUACUUGGAUAAACUGCGAUGUGGGGACGGAGCAGGUUAGGUUAGCGUGCUGUUGGAUAUGCACGUUUAAGUUCGUAGGUGGGAAGUUUAGGCAAAUCCGGACUUCCUUAACACUGAGAGAUGAUGACGAGGCUCUACGGAGCUGAAGUAACUGAUACCACACUUCCAGGAAAAGCCACUAAGCUUCAGGUUUAUCUAAACCGUACUGAAAACCGACACAGGUGGUCAGGUAGAGAAUACUCAGGCGCUUGAGAGAACUCGGGUGAAGGAACUAGGCAAAAUAGCACCGUAACUUCGGGAGAAGGUGCGCCGGCGUAGAUUGUAAGGGUUUACCCCUGAAGGUUGAACCGGUCGAAGAUACCAGCUGGCUGCAACUGUUUAUUAAAAACACAGCACUCUGCAAACACGAAAGUGGACGUAUAGGGUGUGACGCCUGCCCGGUGCUGGAAGGUUAAUUGAAGAUGUGAGAGCAUCGGAUCGAAGCCCCAGUAAACGGCGGCCGUAACUAUAACGGUCCUAAGGUAGCGAAAUUCCUUGUCGGGUAAGUUCCGACCUGCACGAAUGGCAUAAUGAUGGCCAGGCUGUCUCCACCCGAGACUCAGUGAAAUUGAAAUCGCCGUGAAGAUGCGGUGUACCCGCGGCUAGACGGAAAGACCCCGUGAACCUUUACUAUAGCUUGACACUGAACAUUGAAUUUUGAUGUGUAGGAUAGGUGGGAGACUUUGAAGUAGUCACGCCAGUGAUUAUGGAGUCGUCCUUGAAAUACCACCCUUUAACGUUUGAUGUUCUAACGAAGAUGACGAAACGUGGUCUCGGACAGUGUCUGGUGGGUAGUUUGACUGGGGCGGUCUCCUCCCAAAGAGUAACGGAGGAGCACGAAGGUUUGCUAAUCACGGUCGGACAUCGUGAGGUUAGUGCAAUGGUAUAAGCAAGCUUAACUGCGAGACAGACAAGUCGAGCAGGUACGAAAGUAGGUCAUAGUGAUCCGGUGGUUCUGAAUGGAAGGGCCAUCGCUCAACGGAUAAAAGGUACUCCGGGGAUAACAGGCUGAUUCCUCCCAAGAGUCCAUAUCGACGGAGGAGUUUGGCACCUCGAUGUCGGCUCAUCACAUCCUGGGGCUGUAGCAGGUCCCAAGGGUAUGGCUGUUCGCCAUUUAAAGUGGUACGCGAGCUGGGUUCAGAACGUCGUGAGACAGUUCGGUCCCUAUCUGCCGUGGGCGUUGGAGAUUUGAGGGAAGCUGUUCUUAGUACGAGAGGACCGGAAUGGACGAACCUCUGGUGUACCGGUUGUCACGCCAGUGGCACAGCCGGGUAGCUAUGUUCGGAAGGGAUAACCGCUGAAAGCAUCUAAGCGGGAAGCCCCUCCCAAGAUAAGAUCUCCCUAGACCUUAAAGGUCUCUAAAGAUCCGUUGAAGACUACGACGUUGAUAGGCUCCAUGUGGAAGUGUAGUAAUACAUGCAGCUAAGGAGUACUAAUUGAUCGUGAGGCUUGAUCAU